rnacentral:rRNA from 1 species
AUGUAUGAAUGGCUAGAAAGAAACCUGGCUGGCCCCAAUUAUAAUUGGGUUUGGAAAGCCCCUGUUCCAUUGAAGAUUAAAAUCUUCUUAUGGCAGUUAUUUCAGAAUGCUAUACUUACACGAGACAAUAUGCGCAAUAGGAAGUGGCCUGGAAAUCCUAUGUGUUCCUUUUGUACAAAUAUAGAAACUGCGAACCACUUGUUUUUUACCUGCCCUCUUGCUCGUACAGUUUGGGACGUGUUGGGUAUGACAGUUGGGGCUUCUUGUUGUCCCCGAUCUCUUUGGCAAAGCUUUGUCUGGUUCUAUAGGUUCCUUCCAGGAGGGGAUCAAUUAUAUAUAAUGAUUACUGCUGCCAUAUGUUGGGGAAUUUGGUGUCUCCGCAAUAAAGUUACCUUUGAUAAAUAUAUGGCUCGUACUCCUUUGGAGGCUGUUUUCACUGCCUGCUCGUUUAUGUUGUACUGGGCAGGUUUACUCAAAGCUGAAGACAAGGCGAAAUUCCAAGCUGGCGUGAAGAGAUUGGCGCAUGUGGCUGCUGCACUGGCGGACAGACCCUUCGCUCACGACAGACCCUUCGCUCACGACAGGCUUCUCUUGGGUGACAGGGAUGAGAUCCAGAUUGGUUAA